rnacentral:lncRNA from 1 species
CCCCUGCCUCCCUUGUCUCCACCCGCCUAGAUCACUGUCUCACAGUCAUUCUGUGGAACUUCCUCUGUGUCUCUCACUGGAGCCGCCUAACUUCCUCUCCCACCUCCCUUCAUCAAGGAGCAGUCUCAUGCCCAGGAGCUAGAAAUGUAGGCUUUGCCGGCAUUGGUUGAGCUGUGCUGGGCCCUAGGCAGCGAUGACUCAAACUUGACCCUUAACCCCCAGGCAGGCAAGUUUUCACUGGGUCUUACCCGACGUGAGCCCCCACUCCUCCAUAUGGACCUGUUUUGGACCAAUGAGGCAUCCUCUUCUGUAGUCCUCAACACGCGGAGCUCCACCACUCCUGAGCAGUGUGACCUCAGGUGGGGUUGGGGAGAGGCCUCGGGAUGGCAAGGACCAGGGUCUGCGGCCAAGCCUGUGGGUCCUGUCUCCCUCUAGGAUGCCCCUGGGACACUGGUACCCAUGGAUGCACUGGGUGACUUGAGGUCAAUGGCUUUCUCUCUCCAGACCUAGGCAGAAAAAGCAAUCUGCUUUGCAUCAGAGAACCUCAAGAGGCUCUUAAUCCUGCUCUUUUCUCCCUCUGGGCUCCCUCCGUGAUGAGCUCAUCUGACCUCCUGGCAACCCCGAAGGGUGGUUUAGAGCAGGGAAUCAGCCUCCCGAUUUACAGAAAGGAUAACUCAGGCCAGGGAAGCGACUUGGACAGGGUCCUGCAGGGACUCAGUGAAGGAGGCUUCGGAACCCAGCCUGUCUUCCAGCAGGCCAGGAAUCAGCAAAUCUGGCUACCUGUUUUUUUAUUUUUAUUUAUUUAUUUAUUUUGAGACAAAGUCUCGCUCUUGUCAUCCAGGCUGGAGUGCAAUGGCAUGAUCUCGGCUCACUGCAACCUCCGCCUCUGGGGCUCAAGCGAUUCUCCUGCCUCAGCCUCCUGAGUAGCUGGGAUUACAGGUGCCUGCCACCACGCCCAGCUAAUUUUUGUAUUUUUAGUAGAGAUGGGGUUUCACCAUGUUGGCCAGGCUGGUCUUGAACUCCUGACCUCAGGUGAUCUGCCCGCCUUGGCCUCCCAAAGUGCCGGGAUUACAGGCCUGAGCCACUAUGCCCAGCCCACCUGAUUUUUUUAAAAUAAAGUUUUAUUGGAACAAGCCAUGCUUAUUCAUUUACAUAUUGUUCCUGGCUGCUUUCACCAUGCAACAACAGAGUUGAAUACAGAUGCUCUUCAAUUUACAGUGGGGUUACUUCCCAGUAAGCCCAUAAAUUGGCCUGUGGUCCCAGCUAACUUGAAAGGCUGAGUGGGAGAAUCACUUGAGCCUGGGAGGUCAAGGCUGCAGUGAACCCUGAUGGCGCCACUGCACUCCAGCCUGGGUGACAGAGUGAGACCCUGAGUGAGGGUCCCAAGUAGCUGGAAGCCUACAGGUGCAUUCCGCCAUGCGCGGCCCUUUUUUUUUUUUUUUUUUUUUUUUGGUAGAGACUGGAUUUUACCAUGUUGCCCAGGCUGCUGUUGAACUCCUGGCUUCAAGUGAUCCUCCUACCUUGGCCUCUGUAAGCAUUUACAGGGAUUACAGGCAUGAGCCACUGUGCCCAGCCCUGAAUAUUUAAUCAACAUGUAAGGGUGUAGCUCAAUGAUUUUUCACCCACUGAACACACCUGCAUGACUUGCAUCUGCAUCAAUAAACAGAAUAUCACUAAUCCCCAGUCCCCUUCUUAUCCCUGUCUAGUCACUACCCCUCGAAGUGUGGCCGACACCCUGACUUCUACCUGCACCGAUUUCUUUGGCUUAUUUUUUAGCUUUACAUACACAGAAUGAUGUAGUGUGUGCUCUUGUGUGUCUAGCUUCUUUCACUCAACAUGGUAUUUGUGAGAUUCAGUACUGCUGUGUGAGACUGUAUGUCAUUCAUUCUCAUUGCUGGAGAAUAUUCCGUGGGAUGAGUGUACCACAAUGUGCUUAUCCAUUCUUUGGACAUUUGAGAUAUUUCCAGCCAGGGUGGUGGGGAGAAUUAUGAAUUCUGGAGGAUCGCUUGAGGCCAGGAUUUCAAGACCAGCCUGGGCAACAUAGCCAAACCCCAUCCCAAAAAAAAUUUAAAAAUUAGCCAAGCAUGUGAUACACACCUUUAGUCCCAGCUACCCAGGAGGCUGAGGUGUGAGGAUCGCUUGAGCCCAGGAGUUGGAGAGUGCAGUAAGCCAAAAUUGUGCCACUGCACUCCAGCCUGGGCAACAGAGCAAGAUCUUAUCUAAAAAAAAAACGAAACAAAAAAAU